AAAUUGAAGAGUUUGAUCAUGGCUCAGAUUGAACGCUGGCGGCAGGCCUAACACAUGCAAGUCGAGCGGAAACGAGUUGUCAGAACCUUCGGGGAACGAUAACGGCGUCGAGCGGCGGACGGGUGAGUAAUGCCUAGGAAAUUGCCCUGAUGUGGGGGAUAACCAUUGGAAACGAUGGCUAAUACCGCAUGAUGCCUACGGGCCAAAGAGGGGGACCUUCGGGCCUCUCGCGUCAGGAUAUGCCUAGGUGGGAUUAGCUAGUUGGUGAGGUAAGGGCUCACCAAGGCGACGAUCCCUAGCUGGUCUGAGAGGAUGAUCAGCCACACUGGAACUGAGACACGGUCCAGACUCCUACGGGAGGCAGCAGUGGGGAAUAUUGCACAAUGGGCGCAAGCCUGAUGCAGCCAUGCCGCGUGUGUGAAGAAGGCCUUCGGGUUGUAAAGCACUUUCAGUCGUGAGGAAGGUAGUGUAGUUAAUAGCUGCAUUAUUUGACGUUAGCGACAGAAGAAGCACCGGCUAACUCCGUGCCAGCAGCCGCGGUAAUACGGAGGGUGCGAGCGUUAAUCGGAAUUACUGGGCGUAAAGCGCAUGCAGGUGGUUUGUUAAGUCAGAUGUGAAAGCCCGGGGCUCAACCUCGGAAUUGCAUUUGAAACUGGCAGACUAGAGUACUGUAGAGGGGGGUAGAAUUUCAGGUGUAGCGGUGAAAUGCGUAGAGAUCUGAAGGAAUACCGGUGGCGAAGGCGGCCCCCUGGACAGAUACUGACACUCAGAUGCGAAAGCGUGGGGAGCAAACAGGAUUAGAUACCCUGGUAGUCCACGCCGUAAACGAUGUCUACUUGGAGGUUGUGGCCUUGAGCCGUGGCUUUCGGAGCUAACGCGUUAAGUAGACCGCCUGGGGAGUACGGUCGCAAGAUUAAAACUCAAAUGAAUUGACGGGGGCCCGCACAAGCGGUGGAGCAUGUGGUUUAAUUCGAUGCAACGCGAAGAACCUUACCUACUCUUGACAUCCAGAGAACUUUCCAGAGAUGGAUUGGUGCCUUCGGGAACUCUGAGACAGGUGCUGCAUGGCUGUCGUCAGCUCGUGUUGUGAAAUGUUGGGUUAAGUCCCGCAACGAGCGCAACCCUUAUCCUUGUUUGCCAGCGAGUAAUGUCGGGAACUCCAGGGAGACUGCCGGUGAUAAACCGGAGGAAGGUGGGGACACGUCAAGUCAUCAUGGCCCUUACGAGUAGGGCUACACACGUGCUACAAUGGCGCAUACAGAGGGCAGCCAACUUGCGAAAGUGAGCGAAUCCCAAAAAGUGCGUCGUAGUCCGGAUUGGAGUCUGCAACUCGACUCCAUGAAGUCGGAAUCGCUAGUAAUCGUGGAUCAGAAUGCCACGGUGAAUACGUUCCCGGGCCUUGUACACACCGCCCGUCACACCAUGGGAGU
rnacentral:rRNA from 1 species